rnacentral:rRNA from 1 species
UACGUAGGGUGCGAGCGUUAAUCGGAAUUACUGGGCGUAAAGCGUGCGCAGGCGGUUUGUCGCGUCUGCCGUGAAAGUCCGGGGCUCAACUCCGGAUCUGCGGUGGGUACGGGCAGACUAGAGUGAUGUAGGGGAGACUGGAAUUCCUGGUGUAGCGGUGAAAUGCGCAGAUAUCAGGAGGAACACCGAUGGCGAAGGCAGGUCUCUGGGCCGAUACUGACGCUGAGGAGCGAAAGCGUGGGGAGCGAACAGG